rnacentral:piRNA from 1 species
UAAUGGUUAAUACCUGAGCAGAACUGGU